UUUAUUUGAGCCAAACGGUCGACAAUUGCCAGGAAGCAGAACCUCAACAGAUUGGGAUAGUGCUCCGGAGAAUGGCAGUUCUUCACCUUGUUUUAUACAUGACAGUCGAAGGAGGGGACGCAGAGAGAAAUAUUAAUUCAUGAAGAAUUGCAUCUUGAUGCAAAGGCAACUUGGUUGUACAACUGAAAAAAUUAAAAUAAAGAAAAAUGAACUAAUUGUAGCAAGAGAUUUAGUUUCCUGCAGUUCAUUCCUGGUCAAGAGCUCCUGGAAGUCCCGGCAUUGUUUCUGCCCAGAGAGUUCAACAACGUCCGGAGCCUGUGCUGGUGAAAAGAGCCGUCUGUCACUCGACUCCCUGACGGAGGACAGCGGAGUGACAGACCUCCUCCCUCGCCGGGUUGUGCCCCCACUGCGUCCAGCGGGCCUCACCGGGCGCCCCGUCGAGGGCCUGGCUGGCGCCAGUGCCAUGCACCGCAAGGAGGCUGGUCAGGCUUCUAGGCAACUUGGAGAGGGCACUGUCGCCUUUCUGUUACGCUCACAGUUACCAUGUUUCUCCAUGUGUAAGAGCCCCCAUGUACAGGACACUCCCUACUUUUCCAACCCAAAAUAAGAAAUCAAUAUUUUAAACACAAAACAGAACACAUUUUUAUUUAGUAACUAGGGUCCCAGUGCAUGAAUUCAUGCACCUUGAAAGGAACUGUGGGCCGCAAGGCUGCAGUGGGCACAGAGGCGGGUCAUGGUCCAUCCUCUGCGCCCCCGCCCAGUCCCUCCCACCGCGGCCCCGGUCCCCUGUCUGCCGGCAGCCCCAUUCCCACCCCGAUGCUCCACUCUCAGGGCACCGACCCUGCUCACACCCGCUGAGGGUGCGGAGCGAUUGGGGCCGGUGCCAGCAGCGGUGUGAGUGGGGCCAGCGUCCUCAGAGGGUGCGAGUGGCGGCUGCUGCCCCAAUCACCACUUAGGAGCAGAUUCAAUG